GACGCAGCCGCCUUUGUCGCGGAGCAUCAUGGGAGUUGUAGUUUUUAAUACCCAAACGGUUAAUGGGCGUUUUGAAAGCAUUUGAAGAGGGCACCCGGAAGCGGCAUUCCUUUGAAAUUGGGUUCUAGACUAGAGAGGGCUCCUAUACGUACCAUGUGUAGAAGACAAUUUCUGUAGAUGUUUUGCUGUUUUACACGCUAUAUGGCCAUAUUCCAGAAGCAUUCUCUCCUGACGUUUUGCCCACAUCUAUGGCAGACAUCCUCAGAGGUUGUGAGUCCUGUUCCUAGUGCCAUCGUGGCAGAUGAAGACAAAAACAUGGGGUUUUCAACAAGAGCUGGAAUCUUUUCACCUGCCAGAUGUUGAUGUUUGUACCCAAGAACUCAGUAAAACAGACCUUGGGCAUUCCUCGCCCCCGUUCCCUAGGAGGCAGUCCUAUUCUGCAGACAGAGGAGUGAGGGAACAGAAUCGCAGGAGUUUACGGAUUGCAGCCAAACAACAGGCUCAUUAGACCUGCUUCCCUUGGGAAAUUCUAAGGAGUCUUGCAUCUGGACAAAGUUGGGUUUCGCUUCCCGUUCUCUAGGGAAAGAGGUUGUUGGCGGGAAAACGAGACCCCAAUAUAGGUGCCUGACACGGGAGAAUCUUUGCGGAGUCAACAGAGCAGCUUCAGGAGUAAGAUCGUGUGUGGACUUCGCAACCCCAGUUCCUUGCUUCCCGGAUCAAGUAUUCAAGAUUUGCCUUGCCUUGUUUUUAACCACGGAUCUUGUUCCAAGAAUCACUGUUUGCCUUGUUCCUAGUCACGGACCUUGUUAAAGAAUCAAGAUUGUAUCCAGCCUUGUUGUCAAGCUACUUUGGACUCCUAAGACUCUGGCAUUUCCCCACACUAUUGCUUGGCAAUAGUGUGUGUUUCGGUUAUUGGAUUAAAACUUUGAACUCUAAUAUAAUUUAUUGGACAAUACUUUUUUGGACUAUAUUUGACCUUAUUUGAAAGGUCUGCUUCUGAACUAUAUUCUUCACUUGUUUUUAUUGCUUUUAUAUAUUUACUUAAUAAAGAUAUUAGAUAGAGA